AUUGAACGCUGGCGGCAGGCCUAACACAUGCAAGUCGAACGGUAACAGGAAACAGCUUGCUGUUUCGCUGACGAGUGGCGGACGGGUGAGUAAUGUCUGGGAAACUGCCUGAUGGAGGGGGAUAACUACUGGGAACGGUAGCUAAUACCGCAUAACGUCGCAAGACCAAAGAGGGGGACCCUCGGGCCUCUUGCCAUCGGAUGUGCCCAGAUGGGAUUAGCUUGUUGGUGGGGUAACGGCUCACCAAGGCGACGAUCCCUAGCUGGUCUGAGAGGAUGACCAGCCACACUGGAACUGAGACACGGUCCAGACUCCUACGGGAGGCAGCAGUGGGGAAUAUUGCACAAUGGGCGCAAGCCUGAUGCAGCCAUGCCGCGUGUAUGAAGAAGGCCUUCGGGUUGUAAAGUACUUUCAGCGGGGAGGAAGGGAGUAAAGUUAAUACCUUUGCUCAUUGACGUUACCCGCAGAAGAAGCACCGGCUAACUCCGUG
rnacentral:rRNA from 1 species